rnacentral:rRNA from 1 species
GUACACACCGCCCGUCACACCAUGGGAGUGGGUUGCACCAGAAGCCGGUAGUCUAACCUUCGGGAGGGCGCCGACCACGGUGUGAUUCAUGACUGGGGUGAAGUCGUAACAAGGUAACCGUAGGUAAACCUGCAGAAGGAUCA